rnacentral:tRNA from 25 species
GGUUCGGUAGUUCAGUUGGUUAGAAUGCCGCCCUGUCACGGCGGAGGUCGCGGGUUCGAGUCCCGUCCGGACCGCAA